AUGAUGAGAAAUGGAAGAAGCGUGAAGAUUUGGAUGCAUUUGAGCAACAAACGCAAGCGCACAAUUGAGUUGAAUGAUGAUGAUGAGGAGGAGGAGGAUGCAUCAAGUGAUGACGGCAAGAGAAGCCCCACACCCAACUCGGUUUCAUACUCGAAGCCAAAACGACCGGAUGGGUGCAAGAAAGACAAAACAGAAAAGAAGAAGAGGAAAGGAGAUGAUGAGCUCAAAAAUGCUAUGGAAGCUAUUGUGAAGGCAAGAAAAGAAGCCAAUGAGGUGAGGAAAAUGGCAAGGAACCAAGAUGCCGCGGCCGAGGAGAGGAGGUUGGCGGCCGAGGAGAGGAGGGUGGCGGCCGAGGAGAGGAAGGUGGCUUUGGAGGAGAGGAAGGUGAGCAAUUAG
rnacentral:rRNA from 1 species